rnacentral:misc_RNA from 1 species
CACCCCGAUAUACCCUUUACCCUUCUGUAGAGCUUGUAAUAUCUACAGACCUUGCUACGGUGGAUCCUGUAUGAGGCGUCUUAGGAGUUGAGAGACUGUUCGAGGGUCUUCUAGGCUGGACUCACGCGAGAGCGGAUUAUCAAGCUUCGUUUCUUAUAAUGCAAUAUAGAAGACAGGGAUAGCAGGUGCAAUAUAUACAUAUUAGACUAUGUCGAAAGUUUCAGGCUAUUCUGGACAAUUCGUACAGUUUAACAAGAUCUCAAUUCUGAUGUUAAGUCGUUUCAAAGAAACGUGGUUGAGUCAGCCUCACAAUUGUGCAACUUGGAUGAACGAAUAGGCCGGUUCUUUUGUUUUUGGGUUCGUUUAUUUACGAAUUGUAUUUUUAAAUGGUAAAGCUCGAUUCUGAAGAAGGUGACGCUGAAGAAAUAGAAUUUCUUAUGGGACGUUAG